UACGGAAGGCAGCAGUGGGGAAUAUUGCACAAUGGGCGAAAGCCUGAUGCAGCUAUGCCGCGUGUAUGAAGAAGGCCUUAGGGUUGUAAAGUACUUUCAUCGGGGAGGAAAAACAAAACUAAUAAUUUUAUUUCUUGACGUUACCCGAAAAAGAAGCACCGGCUAACUCCGUGCCAGCAGCCGCGGUAAUACGGAGGGUGCUAGCGUUAAUCAGAAUUACUGGGCGUAAAGAGCACGUAGGUGGUUUUUUUAAGUCAGAUGUGAAAUCCCUGGGCUUAACCUAGGAACUGCAUUUUGAAACUGAAAUACUAGAGUAUCGUAGAGGGAGGUAGAAUUCUAGGUGUAGCGGUGAAAUGCGUAGAUAUCUGGAGGAAUACCUGUGGCGAAAGCGGCCUCCUAAACGAAUACUGACACUGAGGUGCGAAAGCGUGGGGAGCAAACAGGGAUUAGAUACC
rnacentral:rRNA from 1 species